CCAGGGGUACCAAAGCGGCCAAAUGGAGCUGACUGUAAAUCAGCUGGUUUAUACCUUCGGGGGUUCGAAUCCCUCCCCCUGGA
rnacentral:tRNA from 1 species